GCCGCCCGAGAGGCGGCGGGCGGGAUCUGCCUGCCCGGGUGCGAGAGGUUUUUGUCUGGGUGCCUGAGGAAAGAUCCAGGCAAGGCUGAUCUUCCCGGCCCCCAGGUACCAGGAUGCACUGAUGAAAUCAGCUGUGAAACGUCUCUUCAACAAACUGGAUAUCCCAAGCCCUAACCUCUGCUGAAAGUUGGAGAAAAAAUAUACAACCCAAUCACAGGAAUAUCUAGGGUUGGGGCUAUGUCAACAAGGUCAGAGAAAUUAGAGGAGACCUGCAAGACAUUCGUGAUGCUGUGACCAGCCACUGGUAGAUCGUAUGGCAGACAGUAUCUAAUCAGACUGUAUGGCCUGACCAAAGCACAUGCCAUGCAGUGUUACUUCUGAGCCUCUAACAUGGGGUGAGGAUGAAGUGGCCUUUCUGGAUUAUGUUCCCUUGUUGGAGCCACUGGAGCGGGGACUCAGAAGCCACGGGGGGAACUUGUGUUGUUGAUACUCUGCCUGGAAAACUGAGGCACAGACAUGGGCGGAGAAGGAAGACGAAAGAUGGAGGUCCAAGAGAAACCUUGCAGCAGGGCCCCGCGUGCACCACCAGCCUCUGCAACCUCUGCCCCCCAGGCAGGGGCUAGCUGCCUGGGCUGGAGGCCAGCUCUGGUGCGGGGCAGCCAUGUAAGCCGGGAUCAGGCUGCUGGGGACACAGAGAGCUGCGAGAUGCUUCUUUUGCACGUCUCUUCUUUGCCUGGGAGCUACAUUUGAGCUCAGACCCUCGACCGUGGUUCUCGCCUGAGCCACGUUGGAGCUGUGCCUGUGCCUGGUCCUGAUCCUGACCUGCUGGCUUGACCUCGGACCUCCCUCGUCACCGGGGCCUUGCCUGGGCUGUGACUGACCCUGGUUACCCUUGGCGGACCUGCCCUGCUCUCCUUGCUCAGGCACGGUGGGACUGUCCCCUUGCUGGUGAGGAUGCCACCUUGCUGUCACCCCAGCUCCUGGCUGGCCUUCCCUGGGGAGCAGCCUGCUCUUUGCUUCUCACAAACGAUUUACAGAAGAGAUUUUUUCAUCUCAGACUUUUAUCCUUUUUUACCUGUAUUAUUUGUUGGGUUUUUUGCUGGGCUGUUUUCAAUACAUCUAGAUUUUAUAUUGGACUAGGACUGGGAAUAUCUAUUUAGCUGAUUUAAGAAAAAUAAUAAAAAUAAUUCAUAAAGUAGAAUUAUAUAGAAGAUUUGUGGUCUAUGAGUAAAGUAGGUCUUUCAGUGCUUUUGGAACUAUCUGUCCAAGAAAUCAGAAAUCACAGUGGCGGGGGGGGGGGAGGAAAGCCUGAAAGCCAUGAAGCCAUAAGUCACUCCUGAACGUGAGCUCAAAGACUCACCUUUCCUGUUUGCUCCUUCACAUUCAUACAUUGCUUAUUUAUAUUGUAUGGCUGGUUACAGCUGAGACAGGGUAAGAGGUCUUACCUCAGUAUUAAUUUCAGAUGUUCACAUGCAUUGCCAGAUUACUACAAAUCUCAGGAAAGCUCACGAGUUAUUUUUCCAAAAUGCCUGUUGGAGUCAGCUAUGUAACUUAACCUGUCAAUAUAUACAUUGAUAAAAUUGAUGUCAACUAAAAUGUCACUGAAAAGAGGAGGAAAUUACUGCAUAGCUUUUCACUGCGAGGCGUGGUAACCUGGUAGAGCACUGCAGCUUGCCUUACACAAGUAGGUUGUCCAUAGCUCCUGUCAACAGAGGGAUUGACUUUCUCUGCCAACGGCUCUGUUGAAACGAAUACGGCUCAUGGUUAACUUCCCACUGGCACGGUGCAUCGUACGUCUGCUAAACAAGCAGACCACAGCUUCAGAGGGAGCUGUAAGUAACUAAGAUAUGGAAAUCCACCAUUGACUGACAUGUCAAAAUAAUUUGGGAUGAAAAAAAUAGUCCCUCCUCUGAUGUCAGUUGGAUUAGGAGUUGUAUUUAGCCAAGCAUAACUAUAUGGUUAUUUUGCUAGAUUAGAGAUGAGAUUUCUUUAUCUUGAAAAUGUGAGGGUUUGUACAUGAGCGUAUGACCAGAUCCAAAUUCCAGGUCUACCUCUUAGCAGUACGGUUCAUUCGGGGAUGCGUGGCACUUCCUAACUUUUCCUAAACCACAGGAACACAGCACCCAGAUGAUAUUGCUUAUCUCCACUAUUAACAAAUUCACCUUUGUAAAUUCUGCUGUCAGAAAAUUGAAAGAACCUGUUCUUCAAGCCCAAGUUGUAUUUUGAGACCCCACUAUUAUGCUAAACCCCUUUCUUCUGACAUGGCUUACAUUACAUGAGAUGUCUGUCCCAUAUGGGCCCAGCAAUAAAAUACAAGCCUUGUAUUAUUUUCCCACUCUGUUCCAUACACUCUUGCUCGCAGGGUGUACUGAGGGUUUUAGUUUUAUUACUGGAUUACUUUUCAAGCUUUCCUCCCACUAGAAAGGCUAAUGAAAUUCAGUAAGUGCCAAUGUGGGUCUGGAAAGUCUGAACGGUUGGGAUAACUCAUCUACUUUCAGGUUUGUCUUUUAGAGCUUUGCUGCAGUACAGCCUUCAGUAAUAAAAGCAAAGAUAUAUUAAGCUCCAUAAAUAAAAUCUUCUCAAAAAAUCAGAAAAAUGUUCUUCAGGAAAAGACUUUUAAAUGGGCAACUCUAACAAUGUUAUACUGUAUAUCUCCACCCCUCCGGAGGAAGAAUAAAAGUAAAAUGUACUAGCCAAAUGGCAAGGAUCAAGAGCCCAAUAUAUCUCUUUCUCAUUAUAUGAGGUUUUUAAAAGGUGACUGGGAGACUAGGGAGUGCAUUUUUAUUGUAAAGUGGCAGGAGAAAAUUAAAAAAUGGCUCUAUUAAAUGUUCUCACUAGCUUAAUUAAGAGAUGUAUAACGAAGCACUUCAUCUGGCUGGCUUUUAUA